UACGAAGGGGGCUAGCGUUGUUCGGAAUUACUGGGCGUAAAGCGCACGUAGGCGGAUGGGUAAGGCCGAGGGGAAAGCCUGGAGCUCAACUCCAGAACUGCCUUUGAUACUGGCCAUCUCGAGUCCGGAAGAGGUAAGUGGAACUGCGAGUGUAGAGGUGAAAUGCGUAGAUAUCGGGAGGAACACCAGUGGCGAAGGCGACUACCUGGCCUGUUCUUGACGCUGAGGCGCGAAAGCUAGGGGAGCAAACGGG
rnacentral:rRNA from 1 species